CAGUCGCCGCGGUAAAACGUAGGUGGCAAGCGUUGUCCGGAAUUAUUGGGCGUAAAGCGCGCGCAGGUGGUUUAAUAAGUCUGAUGUGAAAGCCCACGGCUCAACCGUGGAGGGUCAUUGGAAACUGUUAAACUUGAGUGCAGGAGAGAAAAGUGGAAUUCCUAGUGUAGCGGUGAAAUGCGUAGAGAUUAGGAGGAACACCAGUGGCGAAGGCGGCUUACUGGCUCGAAACUGACGCUGAGGCGCGAAAGCGAGGGGAGCAAACAGGAUUAGAUACCCCUGUAGUCCCUGUCUCUUAUAC
rnacentral:rRNA from 1 species